UACGUAGGGGGCUAGCGUUGUCCGGAAUCAUUGGGCGUAAAGAGCGUGUAGGCGGUCCGGUAAGUCCGCUGUGAAAGUCGGGGGCUCAACCCUCGAAUGCCGGUGGAUACUGUCGGACUAGAGUCCGGAAGAGGAGAGUGGAAUUCCUGGUGUAGCGGUGGAAAUGCGCAGAUAUCAGGAAGAACACCCGUGGCGAAGGCGGCUCUCUGGGACGGUACUGACGCUGAGACGCGAAAGCGUGGGGAGCGAACAGG
rnacentral:rRNA from 1 species